rnacentral:rRNA from 1 species
AUUGAACGCUGGCGGCAGGCUUAACACAUGCAAGUCGAGCGGAGACUUCGGUCUUAGCGGCGAACGGGUGAGUAAUACCUAGGAAUCUGCCUAUUAGUGGGGGAUAACGAAUCGAAAGGUUCGCUAAUACCGCAUAUUCUGUGAGCAGGAAAGCAGGGGAUCGCAAGACCUUGCGCUGAUUGAGCGGCCGAUAUCAGAUUAGCUAGUUGGUGAGGUAAAGGCUCACCAAGGCGACGAUCUGUAGCGGGUCUGAGAGGAUGAUCCGCCACACUGGAACUGAGACACGGUCCAGACUCCUACGGGAGGCAGCAGUGGGGAAUUUUGGACAAUGGGCGCAAGCCUGAUCCAGCCAUGCCGCGUGAGUGAAGAAGGCCUCGGUUG